rnacentral:lncRNA from 1 species
AGUGAAUGAAUGAAUGGAUGAAUGAAUGAAUGAAUCAAUCAAUGCAUGAAUCAGUGAAUGAAUCAAUUAAUGAAUCAGUGAAUGAAUGAAUGAAUGAAUGACUGAAUUAUGUAGCAUGAAUGAGUCUUCCUGGCAGAACUUAAGCUAAAGCUUCCACGUGUGUUUAUCUGUCCUUCAUGAAAAUUAAUUUGAAGAUUAUACCAAAAGCAGUUGUUCUUAAAAUCAUACCUCAAAGUGGCACAUUACUGCAUAGUGUUGCUUUAACCUAGAGCUGGCUUAUUUAAAUAUGUAUUCCAGUCAUAUGAAAGAACUAUGACCUAUGUGCUAAUACACAAUUACACAUAUUACACAAGAUGCCAAACAUCAAUCGUUGCAGUUAUAUCACCAGCAGCCUGUAGUUGUAAGAUGGGACAAAACAAGGAGAGGUGUAUUUAUAUAAAAAAGCAAAUUUUAGAACAGCAAAUGUUGACCAACAUACAGGUCAGAAUAAACUACCCUCUGUAACCUUUUUCACAAGGCCUUCAAGCUUGAGCAGGAGCAUUUGAAGAAAGAGGAGGAGGCAAAAGCAGCAAAGAAAGAGAAACCUGGGAAGACAACAGGACGAGGAAGUAGCAGGCCUGAUACUGCCAAGGACAAUAAAAACACGAGCCCAGAAGGGCUCCAACACACCUCUCAGUCUGCAGCCCCCCAUCCAAGCAAAGAGUCUGAACAUCAGAGCCCUAGUGGAGUACAGACAGCAUUUACUGGCUACAGUAUGAAUGGUUGCCUGAUCCAUCUUACUAGUGAGGUGCGUUCUCUCUACCCAUCAGAUGGAGGAGUUAUUCAAGUGGAGACAUAUAAUCUAAACCAUGGUUUGACUCGAAUGAAAAUCUGCAUGAUGAAGGACAAGCAUCACUUCUUCAUGUAUUAUGCUGGAAUCAAUAGAGGGACACAGAAUGGAUCACUGCCAAUGAAAGGGAGACUCACCGAUCCUCAUGGCUCCUUUUUCGCUACGCUCUCCACUGGAAUGAAACUCUCUUUCAGUCGUCCCAGCGCAGGUAAACAAGAGCAAGAGAGAACUCUCCCAACAGAGAUACCAUCUGAUGCUCCCUCAAAUCAUUGUUCUCAAACUCAGGUACACACUCACACACACACACACACACACACACACACACACACACACACACACACACACACACACACAGACACACACACACACACACACACACAGACACUCACACACACACACACACACACACACACACACACACACGCAAGCAAUUUUCAUUACUUUAUAUGUUUGUACUUUUCUCUCCCAAGUCUCUGAGGGCAGAGGAUACAGCUGUGCCCC